ACUAUGAACAGAAAAGUGAAAUGUUAUGAAAUGAGGCACUCCAAAAACUAAAACACAACAUACAGAAUUCAAUUUCUUAAGAAAGACUAAACUUCACUUCCCAAAAAUAAAAUAGAAAGAUGCAAUAUCAGAGCACAUGCAUGUGCUUCUUAUUUAAUAAAUCUAAGUAGAAUAAAGUAUAAUAUCAUCUUGAAACUACCUCUAUUUUGAAGAUCUAUUUAAUAGAAAGCAAACAUUUUUAAAUAACAUGAUAUUAUUUGCUUUGUGUGGACUGCAAAUUAAAACUAAUGGGAAUUCUUUAGGACUCUAUCCUAAGGAAAUAAACAACAUUGUGGUGAAAGAUUCACGUUCAAUGAUGUUUACCACAAGAGUAUUCACAAUACCGAAAAUUUAGAAGUAAUCUACAUGUUAAUAAAGGAUGAGUAAAUACAUUAUGGCACACUCACAUAAUGGAACAUUACACAGCCAUCAGAACUAUUUUCAAAGGCCAGUUAAUGAAAAAAUGCUUAUGAUAAAAUAAGUACAAAAAAUUCAGUACAAAAUUAUAUUCUGAACAUGACCAGUUUUAUAAAAUCUACAUGUGUAAAUGCACAUACAAAAACCCUGUUGGAGAAGCAUGGCAAUUUGAAACAGCAUACUGGAUGGGACAACAAAGCAUAUUCUUUGUUUUCUUUACACCCGUCCCUGUAUUUUCCAAGUUUUCUAUAAUAAGCAUGUGCUACAUAUAUAUCCAAAAAUAAAAUUUAACACAAGAAAACUGAACUGCUUGUUUAGAACUAAUCAUUUGUAUCGAUACCACUUUGUCACAAGAUGAAUGAUAGGGAGCAGUAUUAUCUCAGCAUUUACAACUUUACCAAUAUUUACUUUAAGCAAUUAAACUAUAUAUACUACUUUUGAUUCUACCACCAAAAUAAUCUCCACUUUCCCUUUCUCCAGGAUAAAGAUAAAAUGGUCAUGUCCUAAUUUUCUUGUCCCUGUAUCCUUUCUGCUACAGCAUCUGCUGAGACUCACAGGAGAAUAUGGAAUGUAAUCUAUCCAAUCACAGUCAGUGUGAUUAUUUUAUUCCAAAUAUCUACCAAGGAAUGACCAGGAGAAUAAGAUCCUCGGAUGUUCUUAAUGGUUUGGUGUCAGGAGGCUGCCUCUUAGACAAUCUCCAGAUGUACUGUGAUGUAAGCUUGAAAAAGAGUUCCUGAAGUAACACAUCUGGGAGACAUGCCACUAUCUGAGCUUCCCAAAAGUCUACCAAGAGCUGAGGAAUUGUAUCUUCAUCCUUAGCACAAAGCACCUUGAAAACAGUAAAAGAAGCCUAUAUAUUACAGAAAAAUAUAGCAUUGAUAAAGCAACAGCUGGGCUGAAUAUCAUAUCAUCACGUGGGCCAUGUAAUUAAUAAUUUACCAUUAGCAUUAGUGCCAUGGCAAAAGCAAAUUUAGACAUUUUGAAAGGAAUCAGAUUCUAGGUUGUACAAAUAAAGUUUCUCCAGAUAUAGUCUUUUAAUCUGUACUUUUAUUUUAUGAACUGAUUAUGUAUUUCUGUUUUUUCAAUAAACAAACAACUGAAAAA